UUUCUCUUGACAGCUCCAUUCCUGCUUGAGGAUGGUGGGUUUUAUUACAACUGCUCCUGUUGGGCAAAUAGGAGAAAAAUGCAGCAAACCUCAGAGCAUGGACCAGGGGAAGUCAGACUCAACUGGACUGUCCACGGGCAUAUGGUCUGAGAUGAUCCAUCAUGUUCUAUGAUGUCAGAUUAUCCACUGAGACUUGGGGACUCUGCAGAAACGCAGUUCUGUUCAGAUAAUGGUAUUUCCAGUUGUUGUGAUGGACAAGACUGUUGCUGGGAAGAACAGACUGGUCUAAAGAAGCCUUGCUGUUUCCUCCUCUCUGGAUGCGACACUGAGUCUGCUGUAUAAGGAAGCUGGCCCAACCUAUUUGAAGAUGAAAGGGCAUAUGGAAAAGAACAAGGGCCCCCAACCAAGAGCCAACAUGCGCUUCUGAAGCUGUGAGUGAGGCCAUCCUGGGUCUUUCCAGCCUGCUGCCCCUCCAGCUGAAAGAAAUGACGUGACCAAGGCCAAGGAAAGCAAAAGAGAUACUGUUGAG